AAUGAUGUGUGUGAAUGAUGUUCAUCUUGAAAAGCUGCUUUGCAAACAGACAGAAGUGCUCAAAACUCCACAUGCUGGUGACAGAACAGUGUUCAACACCUCUCUCUCUCUCUCUCUCUCUCUCUCUCUCUCUCUCUCUCUCUGCUUUGAGUCAAUAGAAAGCAAUGAAAGAAAUGUAUUUACCUUCAUUUCGCGCUGUCAUGUCGUCUGAUCUGGUGUGAGGAACAACAUAACAAAAAAUGAAGAAAUAAAAAACAAAUAAAACAAAACAAUGUUUAUGUGGGUACAAAAAGUCAAUCACAACACUCCAACAAUAAUCAAACCACCCAAAAGUAGUGUUGAAGAUCUUGUGUCUCGUGUUGUUUGUCUGUGUUUGUCCAGAUGACUCUAAACACUGGCCAUUUAGCGACCUCCAUUACUCCAGUUCCUCUGAGAGCUCAUUACUGAACCAAUAUUUCACCGAUAGUUUCUACGUUCAUCUAAUAAUUCAGAUGCUCGACAAACUGACAGAUUAGUCCAGAAAUAAAGAAGAAAUAAUUGGUGCACACUCACCUGCAGCAGAGCAAAGCAGACAGCCACUUCUGAUUGAAGACUGAUUGAUACACUUGAUGACCACAAGAGGGACCCUGCAGAUACAAUGAGUGAUAGAAUGUUUGCUUGUUCAUUUGUUUAUUUACUUAGAACAAAAAUGUUAAUCACUAAACACAUUCAGUCAUAUGCAGGAGGGCCUAUUCAAGCUAGAUAUUUAAUGACAGUCGAUAACUGGAAGUCAUUUUCAGUCUGUCCUGUAGAAAGUGUGCAGUUCUCCUUCCGCUCCGCUAGAGGCGCAAAAGACCUCACGUUCAGCACGAGGCUCACCUUUGGCUCUCUGUAAACAACACGACGCUUGACCAUAGUCAAAACAAACCUUUCUGACCGUUUUAAAGAUAUAAAAGUACAUUUCCUGCAGGUGACAGUCAGUGAGAGCCAUUAAAUGUCACUUAUUAGCACACAUUUCAGCCCUUUCAAGCAAAAACAUGCGACUAUCACUGGAUAAUGUGCAGGAAUGCUGGACACUCCAUCACCUAGUUUGUGUUUGGACGCAUGGACAGUCAGUCGCUGUAAUUAUGGUCAUCUGCUCAUCAUGCUGAGGUUUGUCCGAGCCAUCACCUCUGUGUUGAUUUACCGCCUCAGGAUGGUCCUAGCCUUUGCCGCUCAGUUGUCUUACCGCCCCAGAUGAGCUUGUGAUUCAUUGAACACAGCUGGCAGAUCCUUUAGGGUUCAUCAGUCCAACUGCUUCUGAGCUGGACCUGAGAGAGACAUCUAGUGCUCAAUGCUGAAAUUACAGCUCAUUCACAAACAAAUGAGUGGAAUAUUGUUGCAGGAAGAAUCACCUGGAUGAAAAACCACAGAGGCACAAUAAGAGACUGAUGGCCACAACAUGGAUCUACAGCACAGAAAACAAGUGAAAAUGAAUGGAAAACCACAAAUAAGAACAAGAAACAAUAAUACAAAUGUACAAUCAUUCAACAUACCUGCAUUUAUGUACACACACUCUUCUUUAAUAAAAUAUUUGAAAGAUU